rnacentral:rRNA from 1 species
UACAGAGGUCUCAAGCGUUGUUCGGAUUCAUUGGGCGUAAAGGGCGCGUUGGCGGCUUAACAAGUCACUUGUGAAAUCUCCGGGCUUAACUCGGAACGGCCAAGUGAAACUGUCAAGCUAGAGUGCAGAAGGGGCAAUCGGAAUUCUUGGUGUAGCGGUGAAAUGCGUAGAUAUCAAGAGGAACACCUGAGGUGAAGACGGGUUGCUGGGCUGACACUGACGCUGAGGCGCGAAAGCCAGGGGAGCAAACGGG